AUUGUGACCUGGUGCAAGCUUGAAAAAAACAGCUGUUUAAAUCUUGGGGAUAGAUUUUAAGGUCAAGGGUUGGGCAGAAAAGAAAGUAUUUCAGUUCUUCUUCUGCAUUUUAAUCAAGUGCUUGUUGGUGACAACGGGUCAUACACUGUUCUAUGAAUUCUUUGUCUGGACUCAUGGAAAGCCCCUCAGUUACUGUUAAUGCGACAGAACGGACUCAAAAUAAUUCAGAGCACCCUCUUGUAAUCGCCCUCCUGUUUCACCACUUUUCUUGAGGCAGCUGGAACUUCACAAAAAAAAGGGGAACAAUUGAAGCCUUCUGAUACAACAGGAAGUG
rnacentral:lncRNA from 1 species